GAAUAGGAAGCAAGGCAGUGAGCAUCAAAAUUGAACCAGGUCUUAGGCCUGCCCUCUCUUAUGCCUUCCGGCUUUGAUUUAGGGGCAUGGUUCCAAGCCAUGGCG